GGAGGCGUAUCCGGUCUGGUGACCGGCGCGAUCUUCAAAAUCGUCGAACGGCAGGAUCUGUCGUUGGCGGGUUCGAUUCCCGUCCGCCUCC
rnacentral:tRNA from 18 species